AGGAUUAUAUUUAAUAAUAAUAUUUGAUUUGCAAUCAAAAGGUAUCUUUUCAGAUUAAUCUUA
rnacentral:tRNA from 1 species